AGGAUCUUCUUGGCAUUGGCAUGCUCCUUCUCCCCAUCAAUGCCCGCCUACGGUGAAAAGGGGAUUAACAAGCCAUACACCAGAGGUGCCUUCAUCUUCCUGUGGCCGCUUCAUUCCACGAGGUCUUGCCCCAGUGCAGCCCCCAAAUCUUCAGUCCUCUCCUUUCAGACAUCCCUGGCUUCCCUGAUCUAGGAAAUCCUGACUGGUGGCCCAGCCCCUAUCCCACUUAUUUUAGCUGGGUCUUCCUGUGAGUCAUAGCAGAGGCUCCACGUGACCAUCUCCCUGUGGCCUGUUCCCAUGCCCACCGCUACCUUCCCGCCCACUUUACCUUCUGAUACCAGCAGAUCUGGCCCCGUCGGGUGAGGGAUGAAUCCAUGAUGUCGUCUGACACCACGAAGAAGGCUUGGAGCUAGGAGAACGAAAAGUGGAAUAAGAGCCCCAGGGCUCCUUAUUACUGUUCCUUCUGCCAGCAACAGAGCUGCUGCUUUUGAGAAUCACUGAGCUGGUAAGGAAGGUCAGGAUGAGGAGGCCGAGGACUUUUUUUUUUUUUUUUUGCCACACUAUGUGGCAUGUGGUAUCUUAGUUUGCCAACCAGGGACUGAACCCGUGCCCCUGCACUGGGAGCGUGGAGUCUUAACCACUGAACCACCAGGGAAGUCCACCAAGAACUUUUCGUUUGUGCUGUGGGACUUUGGAAAGUUACAUGACUUCUCUGGCUCAGGCUUCCCAACUAUAAAAAGGGACAAAAACUCCCUUGUUUUCAAAGUAAGAGACACAACAGAUCUCUGACAUCUCCAGACAAGCAGCCCUAGACAAUCCCUGGUUAUCAGGGAGAUGAUGAAACAUCUUCAUAUACUGGACUCUCUUGCGAAAAACUUCAGUGAAUGCUUCAAGUAAGAUUUCUUCAUGCAAUUUGACUUUACAUGACUUGUGGAACAAAAAAGGCUGUUCCUGUGUCCUCCCCGGGCACUCUGCUUACCUACUCCAGUGACCAGGAACAAAACCCCACCUCAGGGAGCUCGUUAGGGAGCGCAGGUCUAAUAGGAUGGAACUCAAGUCUGACUUCCGGUAACUUUCACCCAUGGGUCUUAAACAUCAUCAAAGGGCUUCCUCUUCUGAGUGCCAGCCUACUUGAAGGUACCCAAACGUGCUGGUUCCCCACAGGACUGUGAACUCCUUGGAGGCACGGCAAUGUGUUUGUCCCCCUGGCACUCCCAGAGCCCAGCACAGCAUGGUCCCAGAGUGGGUGUGUCAUAAAUGUUUGUCUAAGAAAUAAAUGAGAGAAUGAAGCACUGUAA